GCGUCGGUGGUGUAGUGGUAGAGUAUGCGUUCCUAGAUAGGACGAAACGCGGGUACGAUUCCCGCCUGAGGCC